CCAAAUACUCCAAAGUAAUAUCAUAUAAUCAUGCCGUUUCUUCCACUUCUUAAACUGUUAUAGAUAGGAAAAAGGAUUCUUGUAAUUUUUAAAUCAAGUUCCUGCUUGUUGUUUUGUUUAGAUGGCGAUGCGCGGCCAAACGGGUCCCAUGGGAUUGACCGGAAGACCCGGACCUCUGGGUCCUCCAGGUGCUCCAGGUCUGAAGGGAGAGUCAGGGGAGGGGGGCCCUCAGGUGCCACUUUUUUAAAAAUCUUUUUAUAACCAUAAAUAUUCUUUACGUGAAAUUUCUGAGCAUUAAAAUCCACAAAAACAACAUCUGCACAUCUGCUUUUCACUUCAGGGACCCCGUGGACCCAUGGGAUCUGCUGGACCCCCUGGAAAGCCUGGCAGAAGGGGCCGUUCUGGAGCAGACGGCGCCAGAGGAAUGCCAGGACAAACCGGACCCAAGGCACGUAGUCGGCCAGUGAUCCUCAGCGCUUCGUGGUCCCUGUGUGUUUGA
rnacentral:lncRNA from 1 species